AUUGAACGCUGGCGGCAUGCUUUACACAUGCAAGUCGAACGGCAGCGCGGGCUUCGGCCUGGCGGCGAGUGGCGAACGGGUGAGUAAUGCAUCGGAACGUGCCCAGUAGUGGGGGAUAGCCCGGCGAAAGCCGGAUUAAUACCGCAUACGACCUGAGGGUGAAAGCGGGGGACCGAAAGGCCUCGCGCUAUUGGAGCGGCCGAUGUCGGAUUAGCUAGUUGGUGGGGUAAAGGCUUACCAAGGCGACGAUCCGUAGCUGGUCUGAGAGGACGACCAGCCACACUGGAACUGAGACACGGCCCAGACUCCUAGGGGAGGCGGCGGGGGGAAAUUUUGGACAAGGGGGGCAACCCUGAUCCAGCCAGGCCGCGGGGGGGAAGAAGGCCUUCGGGUUGUAAACCGUUUUUGUUGGGAAAGAAAUCCUCUGGGCUAAUACCCCGGGGGGAGAAGGGUACGGAAGAAUAAGCACCGGCUAACUACGUG
rnacentral:rRNA from 1 species